rnacentral:misc_RNA from 1 species
UCUCCGUUGGUGAACCAGCGGAGGGAUCAUUACCGAGUUAUCAACUCCCAAACCCCUGUGAACAUACCAUUUGUUGCCUCGGCGGUGCCUGCUUCGGCAGCCCGCCAGAGGACCCAAACCCUUGAUUUUAUACAGUAUCUUCUGAGUAAAUGAUUAAAUAAAUCAAAACUUUCAACAACGGAUCUCUUGGUUCUG